rnacentral:rRNA from 1 species
ACAAUGCGGAACAAUGUUUUGCAAUUGGAUUGAGAACAACGUACAAACCUUAUCGAUAAACAAUUGGAGGGCAAGUCUGGUGCCAGCAGCCGCGGUAAUUCCAGCUCCAAUAGCGUAUAUUAACGUUGUUGCAGUUAAAAAGCUCGUAGUUGAAAUGAAGGGUAGUUGUGUAAUGAAUACAUUCGUGUAUUUUGUUAUUCUACUACCUCCUUCUAAAUUCGAUAUAUGAGUAUUAAUUUACUUGUAUAUGGUUUUAGACCUUUACUGUGAGAAAAUUAGAGUGUUCAAAGCAGGCAUUUGCUUGAAUAUAUUAGCAUGGAAUAAUCAUGUAUGAUUUUCAUGAUGUAUUUGAUUGGUUUGGUUCAUGAGAAUAAGAUUAAAAGGGACAGUUGGGGGUAUUCAUAUUCAAUAGUCAGAGGUGAAAUUCUCGGAUUUAUGGAAGAUGAACAAGUGCGAAAGCAUUUACCAAGGAUGUUUUCAUUAAUCAAGAACGAAAGUUAGGGGAUCGAAGAGGAU